rnacentral:rRNA from 1 species
UACGUAGGGUGCAAGCGUUGUCCGGAAUUAUUGGGCGUAAAGGGCUCGUAGGCGGUUUGUCGCGUCGGGAGUGAAAACCUCGGGCUUAACUCGGGGCUUGCUUUCGAUACGGGCAGACUGGAGGUAUGCAGGGGAGAACGGAAUUCCUGGUGUAGCGGUGAAAUGCGUAGAUAUCGGGAGGAAUACCAGUGGCGAAGGCGGCUGCCUGGCCUGUUCUUGACGCUGAGGCGCGAAAGCUGGGGGAGCAAACGGG